rnacentral:rRNA from 1 species
GAUGAACGCUGGCGGCGUGCCUAAUACAUGCAAGUCGAGCGAACAGAUGAGGAGCUUGCUCCUCUGACGUUAGCGGCGGGCGGGUGAGUAACACGUGGAUAACCUACCUAUAAGACUGGGAUAACUUCGGGAAACCGGAGCUAAUACCGGAUAAUAUAUUGAACCGCAUGGUUCAAUAGUGAAAGACGGUUUUGCUGUCACUUAUAGAUGGAUCCGCGCCGCAUUAGCUAGUUGGUAAGGUAACGGCUUACCAAGGCAACGAUGCGUAGCCGACCUGAGAGGGUGAUCGGCCACACUGGAACUGAGACACGGUCCAGACUCCUACGGGAGGCAGCAGUAGGGAAUCUUCCGCAAUGGGCGAAAGCCUGACGGAGCAACGCCGCGUGAGUGAUGAAGGUCUUCGGAUCGUAAAACUCUGUUAUUAGGGAAGAACAAAUGUGUAAGUAACUACGCACGUCUUGACGGUACCUAAUCAGAAAGCCACGGCUAACUACGUGC